rnacentral:rRNA from 3 species
UACCCGCUGAGUUUAAGCAUAUCAAUAAGCGGAGGAAAA